UGGGAAAGACAAAAAAAUCUUCAAUGUUGACGUCGGCGUUUCGGGCUACGCGACGUCUAUUAUACCUGUAAUAAUUAUGUUUACAAAACUCGAGGGAUUGAGACGUCGGCUAUUUAGGGCUCCGACGUGUAUGUUAUUAUAGACGUCGGUGGCCCAUACCAAUAGUCGUGAACAUCCCUGACAGGAUAUCAAACGUCAAUCGGUUCAGCUUCCUAGACGUCGGUUUCCCCUGACAGAAACCGACGUCUAAUGGGUAUUCAAAAAGUCAGUUUUAAAUGUUCACUUGGACGUCACAUUAGUAGGAUUACCGACGUCUAUAGACGUCGGUUUCUGGAGAAUAACCGACGCCCAAUUCCAUUUUAAAUACACCGCAACUUUUCGUAGCAUUCAGUUUCUGAUAUCGAUCGUCUUCCUCUUCUCCUUUUUCUCUUGCCACACCUCUUCUUUUUCUCUCUUUUCGGCAUUCUAUUGUUGUUUCUCGUCUUCCUCCUCUCCUUUUUCUCUCUUGCAUCCCAGGUGCGUGGUUUUUUUUUUUUUAUGCUUACAGUUUAAACUUUAUUUAGUCUUUCAUCUAUUAUCUUGUGAUGAUUAAAAUUUGCUUUCUUUGUGUUGUGUUUUAGUGUAGUUUUGAUCCUUUGGGUAACAUAGUACAACAUUCUCCCUUUGCUGGUUUCCUCACAAGAAGAGUGGCGAUCUUUUGAGUUUUCUAUGGCUUCUCGACCCAAAAUGGAACUUGG
rnacentral:lncRNA from 1 species